rnacentral:rRNA from 1 species
AUUGAACGCUGGCGGAAUGCUUUACACAUGCAAGUCGAACGGCAGCACGGACUUCGGUCUGGUGGCGAGUGGCGAACGGGUGAGUAAUGUAUCGGAACGUGCCCAGUCGGGGGGGAUAACGUAGUGAAAAUUACGCUAAUACCGCAUACGAUCUAUGGCUGAAAGCGGGGGAUCGAAAGACCUCGCGCGAUUGGAGCGGCCGAAAUCAGAUUAGGUAGUUGGUGGGGUAAAGGCCCACCAAGCCAACGAUCUGUAGCUGGUCUGAGAGGACGACCAGCCACACUGGAACUGAGACACGGUCCAGACUCCUACGGGAGGCAGCAGUGGGGAAUUUUGGACAAUGGGCGAAAGCCUGAUCCAGCCAUUCCGCGUGCAGGAUGAAGGCCCUCGGGUUGUAAACUGCUUUUGUACAGAACGAAAAGGUUUCUACUAAUACUAGGAGCUCAUGACGGUACUGUAAGAAUAAGCACCGGCUAACUACGUGCCAGCCGCCGCAGUAA